UACGUCGGGUGCGAGCGUUACUCGGAAUUACUGGGCGUAAAGCGUGCGCAGGCGGUUCGUUAAGUCAGAUGUGAAAGCCCCGGGCUCAACCUGGGAACUGCAUUUGAAACUGGCGGGCUUGAGUGUGGCAGAGGGGGGUGGAAUUCCGCGUGUAGCAGUGAAAUGCGUAGAGAUGCGGAGGAACACCGAUGGCGAAGGCAGCCCCCUGGGCCAACACUGACGCUCAGGCACGAAAGCGUGGGGAGCAAACAGG
rnacentral:rRNA from 1 species